CAGUAGCCGCGGUAAAACGUAGGUGGCAAGCGUUGUUCGGAGUUAUUGGGCGUAGAGGGUGCGUAGGCGGUUUGAUAAGUCUUGUGUGAAAUCUAUGGGCUCAACCCAUAGUCUGCACAGGAAACUGUCGGGCUUGAGAGUGGGAGAGGUGAGUGGAAUUUCCGGUGUAGCGGUGAAAUGCGUAGAUAUCGGAAGGAACACCUGUGGCGAAAGCGGCUCACUGGACCAUUUCUGACGCUGAUGCACGAAAGCUAGGGGAGCAAACAGGAUUAGAUACCCCCGUAGUCCCUGUCUCUUAUAA
rnacentral:rRNA from 1 species